UGAGGCACGAAAGCCAGGGGAGCAAACGGGAUUAGAUACCCCCGGUAGUCCUGGCCCUAAACGGUGCGUACUUGCUGUAAGCGGAUUCGACCCCGCUUGUGGCGCAGUUAACACGAUAAGUACGCCGCCUGGGAAGUACGGUCGCAAGAUUAAAACUCAAAGAAAUUGACGGGGGCCUGCACAAGCGGUGGAGUAUGUGGCUUAAUUCGAUGCAACGCGAAGAACCUUACCUGGUCUUGACAUGCACGUAGUAGAAGCCUGAAAGGGUGACGAGGUAGCAAUACCCGCGUGCACAGGUGCUGCAUGGCUGUCGUCAGCUCGUGUCGUGAGAUGUUGGGUUAAGUCCCGCAACGAGCGCAACCCCUACGUCCUGUUGCCACUCCCGCGCAAGCGGGAAGCACUCUGGACGGACUGCCUCGCUUAAACGAGGAGGAAGGUGGGGAUGACGUCAAGUCAGUAUGGCCCUUACGACCAGGGCUGCACACGUACUACAAUGCCCGGCACAAAGGGGAGCCAACCGGCAACGGUGAGCAAAUCCUUAAAACCGGGCCCAGUUCAGAUUGUCGUCUGCAAUUCGACGGCAUGAAGCUGGAAUCGCUAGUAAUGGCGCAUCAGCUACGGCGCCGUGAAUACGUUCCCAGGCCUUGUACACACCGCCCGUCACAUCAUGAAAGCCGUUUGUACCCAAAGCCGCUACGUUAACCGCAAGGAGAUUGGCGCCUAAGGUAUGAAUGGUGAUUGGGAUGAAGUCGUAACAAGGUAACCGUA
rnacentral:rRNA from 1 species